UAAAGCUCAUAGCGGAAAAGGUUAUUCUAAGUUGAAUAAAAAAAAUAUGAAAUUAUUACAAUUAUUCAUUGUGGUUGCAUCUAUUGCAUGUAUUGCAUGUAGUGGUGUACAUGAUGUAGUAUUUGGUGAUCAAAAAACUAAUAAUAUGACUAACUUCGAUAACACUGGCAUUAUACAUUUUCGUUAACCCAAAUGGAUGGAUGGAUUAAGAUUAAUUACAUGGAAUUAAACAUUUUGAAUUUUACACAAAUUAUUGAAUUAAAAUGUAGUAAUUACAAAAUAUUUAAAAAUUAA